AAACAAAAAUAGGUGUGUGCUAGACUCAGGGACAUCUGGCCACCUUAUCUAAUGGUUGGAAUGUUUGAGAUGUCAGGUACUUACUCACCCCUGGGUAGAUCGCUGGGUGGUGUCAGCUUAAGGCUUUUCCUGGAUCUGGGUGUUGCCUGCCAGUAAGCCUGUCACAGAAGCUGUGUCUGGGCCCCUAAGCCUGUCAUGGCAGCUGUGUGGUCAAGCUGUUUUGGGGCCCCUUCACAGUCAUAUUUAGAGGUAAAGCCUGAGAAGAGGCAAUUAAGGUAAAAUGAAGGCAUAUGAGUGUCCCCUAAUCCAGUAAGUGUGAACAGUGUCCUUACAAAGGACACAGACAUGCAGAGGACACAGAGAUAUCAUCCAUAUCCAAGCAGAAGAACCUCAGAUGGAAAUCAGCCCUGGCUGCCCCUCCAUCCUGGAUUUCUAGCUCCCACGCCCUGCAGUACUUUGUUGCAGCGACCUUGCAGAUGGGCACCUUUGAACCACCAGGCCUGGAAAUGAACAAAAUGCGCCUCCUUGGCGGUGCCCUUCUGCAGUCCUGCCUCUGCGCCAUCCAGCUAGCCUACAUUUGACUUCCUAGAGAGCCGGCUCAGAUCCUGCUGAUCCCUGACCUCCAGGAGCUCUGGCGUUCAAGACCACACACUCCGCCUGCCUGGUCUCAUCUCCCGUUCAUUCACUCACCACUCCACAGUCACCUGUACCCACCACACACCUGGCACUGUGACAGUCAUUUCAUACACUCGGGCCUCUCGGUGAGCUCGGUGAGCUCGUGCUGGAACUUGAUGCUGUUUGUCCCGGAAGGGUCAUGAGCUACAGCAGCACUUCUCAACCUGUGGGUCAUGACCCCCUUGGAGUUGAAGGACCCUUUUUCAGGCGUCGCCUAAGACCGUCGGAAAACACAGAUAUUUACAUUAUAAUUCAUAACAGUAGCAAACUUACAGUUAGGAAGCAGCAAUGAAAAUCAUUUUAUGGUUGCGUGGGAUGGGGGUGGUCACAACAGCAUUAAAGGGUCACAGCAUCAGGAAGGCUGAGAACCACUGCGCUGGAGGCCUGGUCCGCAGUGCCGCAGUAAUGGGGGCAAUGGAACAUUUAAGUCAGAGCCAGCAGCAGGCAUGUCCAACCUUCUCACAUUGCUAAGCUUCAUACUGAACAGUUACCAGGAAAUAAAAAUCAUCUCACAGUGUUGUCAGCA